rnacentral:rRNA from 1 species
GCGGAGGGAUCAUUACCGAGUUUACAACUCCCAAACCCAAUGUGAACCAUACCAAAUGUCGCCUCGGCGGGGUCACGCCCCGGGUGCGUCGCAGCCCCGGAACCAGGCGCCCGCCGGAGGGACCAACCAAACUCUUUUCUGUAGUCCCCUCGCGGACGUUAUUUCUUACAGCUCUGAGCAAAAAUUCAAAAUGAAUCAAAACUUUCAACAACGGAUCUCUUGGUUCUGGCAUCGAUGAAGAACGCAGCGAAAUGCGAUAAGUAAUGUGAAUUGCAGAAUUCAGUGAAUCAUCGAAUCUUUGAACGCACAUUGCGCCCGCCAGUAUUCUGGCGGGCAUGCCUGUCCGAGCGUCAUUUCAACCCUCGAACCCCUCCGGGGGGUCGGCGUUGGGGACCUCGGGAGCCCCUAAGACGGGAUCCCGGCCCCGAAAUACAGUGGCGGUCUCGCCGCAGCCUCUCCUGCGCAGUAGUUUGCACAACUCGCACCGGGAGCGCGGCGCGUCCACGUCCGUAAAACACCCAACUUCUGAAAUGUUGACCUCGGAUCAGGUAGGAAUACCCGCUGAACUUAAGCAUAUCAAAAA